AAGUCUCAGUGCAGCUGGAAGU
rnacentral:miRNA from 12 species